CAGUUUGUUCAGACAGAUUUGAACACAAAUGUAAUGCCUGUAUAUAAAAAUGGCCUUCAGUGUGUUAUCUUCAGCAGUAGUUAUUUAGUUAUUUUAGUUUAGUUUAGUUAGACCCUCAACUAUUUCUAACAAAAAGACUCGAGAAAAAAAGAUUGGAAUGAUUCGGUACAGUGACAUUCGGCCUAUAGUGUGGCAGUAGCCCUAAUCAGGUACAUGUGGCAAUUAUUUGACCUGGCAAAAAAUAUGAGGAUGGGAGUGACUUUCAAACAUAGGCUAUUAACAGCUUUUUGGGUAUACAUUUAGAUGAACAAUAUACAGUAGGCUACACAUAAGCAAGAAUAUGACCUCCAUUGUAAAAUAGAGGAAACAAGUAGGCCUAUUUAAUGUGUCAACAUUUCUCUUAGUAAAUACAUAUCCAUGCAUGUAUUGACAGGACAUUUUGCCAAGUUUUUGGUGUUAAUAAAUGAAAUCCACACAGAUGAAGGAAUCAUAAUGGCAACUGAUCAAAAAAGUGGACAGUGAAGUGAGGCAGACAGGAGGCGAGUGGUAGAGAGAGAUGGGGUAGGAUUGGGAAAUGACCGGAGUCCCCGAGGGCACUUGGGCCCUUAUAUGGUAAGAGCGCUGUAGCCAGUUGCGUCACAGUGCCCCCCCCCCUAAAAAUAUGUUUACUUUAUUUAUAAUUUUAUAGUAUAACAGGAUCCAGUCCUGACAUCAUGGCUCAAGAUGAUCGCUGAGCUGCCCCACUCCAGGCCUGGACCCGGGAAAGAGUGGUGAUGCUACAAGGAGUUCCCUGCAGUAUUGCAGUUCCCUGUCUCAUUGAAGCUGAUGGGUAUUGGGGAAAUUCUCAAACACUCAUUGCCAGCUACUGCUGAAGCCUGGAGACUGUUGGAAAACAUGACCCUGAAAAGCUAUCUCUUGUUGGUACGCUGCUGAUGAGUCACUGGGGCUACAUGAUUUGGGGAAAAUAUCUAAUUGUGAUUUUUCUGACUGAUAUUGCGAUCGGAUUUGUGAUAUGAUUUUUGAUUCGAAUGUCAAUGAAUUGAUUCAGUUAAAUAUUCCAAAUGUCUUUUUAGGUUGUGCCACUUGUGAUGUGUAAGUGUGAGUAUGUGAGUAUGCCUAGUGCAGCUCGCCAAUCAGAAGUGAUGUACUUCUCACACACAAGGCAUGCUCACCAAUCAGAAGUGGCACAGGAUGACAUGAAUGUAAAAAUAAUAAAUUUAAUUAACUGUGCGCAAUUAUUUGUAGCCUCUGUGAUAAUUGCAGUGGUUCAUGUUGCGGUUGCGAUAAUUCUGCAGCCCUAUGAGACACCAAAUGACUCUUUUGUGGGUGCAGACGCAGACCAUCUCAGCAGAUAGUAUGGAAGACAAAUAAGGUUAUCCAAGGUGCUUUUAAAGACUGCAGUGCAGUGUGAAUGAGAAGGCCAUCUAUAGAUGAAGAACACCAGGACUCAGGCACAGAAAUAUGACGAGCCAGAGUAGAAGCACAGCUGUCGGAAGUUGUCGAUCUUCAUGAUCAUUUAAUCAGAAUAAAUGGGAUUGGUUAUGUGGUUGCCCAGCAACAUUGCUCAAAAAGUUG